UACGUAGGCGGCAAGCGUUAUCCGGAAUUACUGGGCGUAAAGCGCACGCAGGCGGUCUUGUAAGUUUGACGUGAAAGCUCCCGGCUUAACUGGGAGAGGUCGUUGAAGACUGCAAGACUUGAGGAAAUGAGAGGGGUGUAGAAUUCCCGGUGUAGUGGUGGAAUGCGUAGAUAUCGGGGGGAAUACCAGUGGCGAAAGCGGCACCCUAGCAUUUUUCUGACGCUCAUGUGCGAAAGCGUGGGGAGCGAACGGG
rnacentral:rRNA from 1 species